UCUGUGACUCAGUGGAAGAACCUCUGCUUUGCAUACUGGAGGUCCCAGGUUCGAUCCCUGGCAUCUCAA
rnacentral:tRNA from 1 species